UUCCGGUUGAUCCUGCCGGACCCGACUGCUAUCAGAAUGAGAUUAAGCCAUGCGAGUCAACGUAGCAAUACGUGGCACACGGCUCAGUWACACGUAGUCAACAUAACCAGAGGACGUGGAUAAACUCGGGAAACUGAGGCUAAACCGCGAUAGACCAARAUACCUGGAAUGGUUUUUGAUCAAAAUCUAUAUGGCCUUUGGAUUGGACUGCGACCGAUCAGGCUGUUGGUGAGGUAAUGGCCCACCAAAUCUGUAACCGGUACGGGCUCUGAGAGGAGGAGCCCGGAGAUGGGUACUGAGACAAGGACCCAGGCCCUAUGGGGCGCAGCRGGCGCGAAACCUCUGCAAUAGGCGAAAGCUUGACAGGGUUAUUCUGAGUGACUUUCGCUAAGAAAGUCUUUUGACACCUCUAAAAAUGGUGUAGAAUAAGGGGUGGGCAAGUCUGGUGUCAGCCGCCGCGGUAAUACCAGCACCCCGAGUGGUCGGGACGAUUAUUGGGCCUAAAGCAUCCGUAGCCGGUUUUACAAGUCCUCCGUUAAAUCCAACUGCUUAACAGAUGGGCCGCGGAGGAUACUAUAAGACUAGGAGGCAGGAGAGGCAAGCGGUACUCAGUGGGUAGGGGUAAAAUCCGUUGAUCCAUUGAAGACCACCAGUUGCGAAGCGGUUUCCAGAACGGGUUCGACGGUGAGGAUGAAAGNUGGGGGNNAACCCGAUUAGNUACCCGGUAGNCCANUUUAACGUUGAGAUUCGGGAUGGCUAGUUCAUNUANCCANUNCGNAGGAAGNCGUUAGNUUCCCCUGGNAANACGGUCNAAAUUGAANUUAAGGGUUUGGNGGGGGCACCAAGGGGGAACCUUCGGUUNAUUGGG
rnacentral:rRNA from 1 species